rnacentral:rRNA from 1 species
AUUGUUUGGAGAGUUUGAUCCUGGCUCAGGACGAACGCUGGCGGCGUGCUUAACACAUGCAAGUCGAGCGGAAAGGCCCUUCGGGGUACUCGAGCGGCGAACGGGUGA